AGCAUUUUGCGCAAAAAGGAAGGCUUAUUUGGUAUUAGGUAGUUGGUUAUGUUAAAAGCUGACCAUAGCCUGAGAUGCCUAGCAGACUUUAGCGAGUGAUCUGCCACAACGGGCUUGGAAUAGUGCCUGAACAUUUAAUGGCAGCAGUAAAAGAAUCUUGGACAAUGCAUUCACGUGUGAUCCAGCCAGUCUCUGUGGUGGAUGAAGGCCUUUUAGGUUGUAAACAUUAAGGUUUUUUAGAAUAUCAUGAAUGUAUAAAAAAAUCAAGGGGUAGGCUAAACCUCGUGCCAGCAGCCGCGGUAAUACGGGGGCCUCUAGUCUUUGACCUCAUGACUGGGUGUAAAUGGCCACAAAGGAGGUUGUCUUUGUUCUUGAUAAAAUACUACGACUUAAUCGUAGGGCUAUCAUUAAAACAAGAAGUUUUUGACUAGAAUAUAUAGGGG
rnacentral:rRNA from 1 species